GCCCCGGUAGCCCAACGGCAGAGGCAGCGGUCUCAAACACCGUCCAGUGUGGGUUCGAAUCCCACCCGGGGCACCA
rnacentral:tRNA from 1 species